CGAUUCCAAGAUUCGAAGGCAUGAAAUACAUACAUUAUAAACAAAAAUGAUUGACACCUUCUAACGCCUUAAUUUUUCUAAAAAAAUUGCAGCAUAUAGAGAAACAAGGAUCAAACAAGAAAGUGACAAUCCUGCCCUUAAGUAUACAAAAAGACCAAGAUAAUGUUCAGUCAGCAAAGGAGUUCAUACCAUCUUACCCACACCAGG
rnacentral:misc_RNA from 1 species